UGCCUGUUUACCAAAAACAUCACCUCCAGCAUUCCCAGUAUUGGAGGCACUGCCUGCCCGGUGACAUUAGUUAAACGGCCGCGGUAUUCUGACCGUGCAAAGGUAGCAUAAUCAUUUGUUCUCUAAAUAAGGACUUGUAUGAAAGGCCACACGAGGAUUUAACUGUCUCUUACUUCCAAUCAGUGAAAUUGACCUUCCCGG
rnacentral:rRNA from 1 species